GUAAAGUUAUAUAGUAUGUGUGUGAAUAUAUCUUGUUUGUGGUUUAUUAGCGCACUGUUUGGAUUUUUAGAAGUGUAAUUUGGUUUUAGGUUUACUUUUUAUUAUCUUCCUAUUAAGGUUGGUGAAAUUUUUGUUAAUAAAAAUGAUCUUAGCUAAUAGAAAUAUCUUGUGAAGUUGUUGAUCAUGUAUUGAAUUUUUUUUUUAGCUUAUACAAGUUCAAGAUUUAUGUUAAUGGC
rnacentral:lncRNA from 1 species